rnacentral:pre_miRNA from 1 species
AAUAGAUGACGUCGUUGACUUUUUCUCACAUGUUUGAUCAUUCGUCUUAUUCAAAAAAUUUACAUAAUUAUAAUUUAUUUUGUUAUGAGUUGUUUUAUCACUCAUAGUACUUUAAGUGUGAUUUAUAUCUUAUACAUUUGCAUAAAUUUUUUAAAUAAGACGAAUAGUCAAACAUGUGAGAAAAAGUCAACGGCGUCAUCUAUU